rnacentral:rRNA from 1 species
UGGGGAAUAUUGGACAAUGGGCGAAAGCCUGAUCCAGCCAUGCCGCGUGUGUGAAGAAGGUCUUCGGAUUGUAAAGCACUUUAAGUUGGGAGGAAGGGCAUUAACCUAAUACGUUAGUGUUUUGACGUUAACGACAGAAUAAGCACCGGCUAACUCUGUGCCAGCAGCCGCGGUAAUACAGAGGGUGCAAGCGUUAAUCGGAAUUACUGGGCGUAAAGCGCGCGUAGGUGGUUUGUUAAGUUGGAUGUGAAAGCCCCGGGCUCAACCUGGGAACUGCAUCCAAAACUGGCAAGCUAGAGUACGGUAGAGGGUGGUGGAAUUUCCUGUGUAGCGGUGAAAUGCGUAGAUAUAGGAAGGAACACCAGUGGCGAAGGCGACCACCUGGACUGAUACUGACACUGAGGUGCGAAAGCGUGGGGAGCAAACA